rnacentral:rRNA from 1 species
GAGUAACGCGUGAGUAACCUGCCUUUCAGAGGGGGAUAACGUUCUGAAAAGAACGCUAAUACCGCAUGAGACUACAGAGCUGCAUGGCUCAGUGGUCAAAGGAGCAAUCCGCUGAAAGAUGGACUCGCGUCCGAUUAGAUAGUAGGCGGGGUAACGGCCCACCUAGUCGACGAUCGGUAGCCGGACUGAGAGGUUGAACGGCCACAUUGGAACUGAGACACGGUCCAAACUCCUACGGGAGGCAGCAUG